rnacentral:rRNA from 1 species
AUGAAAGCUAAUGUAGAUGGGGCCAUGGUCAAGGAAGGAACGGGAGGUGGUGUCGGUGUUAUCUUCAGGGACGAAGACGGCGCAUUCCGGGGGGCAGCUUCCCAUUUUCUCCCUAACUGUCCAAAAGCUGAGACUGCCGAGAUACUGGCGUGUCGGAAAGCGGUGCAGUUGGCGAUCCAACGAGGUAUUCAGAAACUGCAUUUGGAGACGGACUCACAGGUAGUAGCCAAGAUGUUCGGAGAAGAGGGACGCAACUUAUCGCCGGUGGGACAAACGACAGAAGAGGUAAAGAAUAUGAUCCGAACUAGGGAGGAGUUCAAGAUCACUUGGGUCAGGAGAACGGCUAAUGGGGCAGCCCAUAUUCUUGCUAAGCUAGGUGUUAAUUCUCGUACUUCAGUUUUUUGGGACUUAGAUCCCCCAAUUUGUAUUCUCAGUACUGUUUCAGACGAGAUUCCUACUUUGAGUUAA